rnacentral:rRNA from 1 species
UACGGAGGAUGCGAGCGUUAUCCGGAUUUAUUGGGUUUAAAGGGAGCGUAGAUGGAUGUUUAAGUCAGUUGUGAAAGUUUGCGGCUCAACCGUAAAAUUGCAGUUGAAACUGGCAGUCUUGAGUACAGUAGAGGUGGGCGGAAUUCGUGGUGUAGCGAUGAAAUGCUUAGAUAUCACGAAGAACUCCGAUUGCGAAGGCAGCUUGCUGGACUGCAACUGACACUGAUGCUCGAAAGUGUGGGUAUCAA